ensembl:lncRNA
GGAAAGAGGAAGCCCACCUCACCUCUUUGGUUCCCCUGGGAGCAAAAGCAAUCCCCAAAAACCAAAAGGAAAGAGAGCCGCAGACCCUCCCUGCAGCUGCUGACAGAGUCUCAUUUUGGCAAGUAUCUGAGCAAAACCAAAACAAAACAAAAACCAAAUAAAAUGGUGGUUUAGCAUAGACGUGCGCAUUCACAUUGCACAAGGCACCGCUGGGACACAGAGAGGCCAGAUACAAGUGUUGAUAUCGGCUGAUAAAGCAAAAUAUUUGGAAAGCUUCUCAUAACUUCGGUCCCUCUGGGAUGGACAGAUUGUGCUUGGUGUUUGUAUGGCAAUGCUGACAACAUACAGUACAAGGCUGAUGGUCCCAGGGUCCCUUCACCCCCCACCCCCACCCCCGACCACAGCUCUAGGUUUCCCUGCACCACCGGGCUGCCACUCCCAUGAACACAUGUCCAGAGAGCUACCCCACGUCCUAGCUUUCUGGUCUUAUUAGGGGCAGGGGGCUCCCACUGGUCACCGGGUGACCCCAUUUAAGUGAGUUCUGUCCAGGGAAGCCCAGCCUGUUGUAGGCUGGGAGAUUAGAGGCGAGGAACUAGGGACCCUCCACCUUCGUGUAAAACUAGGGGAACAACCUUCCAAGUCCCUGUAUUUCCUCCCUUCCAAGGACAGGCGCUGGAGAAGCGGCUAGGGCUGACUUGUCGGGAUCUCUUCUCCCCGAACCUUCCUUCUGCCGUGGGCCUGCACAUUGCCGUCUCUCCUGGGGGCCUGCAGCCUCAGGAAUGAGGCAGGAACCCUCCAAAUAAAAUGACAAGGCACAUAUUUGCUCCCCCUACUCGGUAGGAAUCGGAGCGGCGAGUUUGCGUUUCCAAGGCACAAGGUUAUUCCUUAAUACUAGAGUCGGCCCGGGGCUCCCGGCUCAGCCCCACGGCACCUCUCCUCUCCUGCAGGGAGAAACCACCGCCUGACCCCUCAUCUUAGACGCACCGAAUCCGGCGCAGAGGAAGGCGAGGGGCGCGCGCAGCAGGCCAGGCUUUCUGGCGGCACCGGAAUCUCCUAGUCCCGGCUUGCGCCGCUUGGGCAGUCUUGAGAUCCGGAGACCCAAAACCACUCCCUGGGUCCCAGCCAGCGGCCGGCCCAGGGCGGUCCCGCCGCCCCGCGCCUCACGCGCAGUUGCCCAUGGCCUUGACCAGGGAGCUCUCGGGCAGCUGGCGGAAGAUACCCCUCAGCGUGUCCAGUUCGCGGCUCAGUUGUUCCACCCGCUUACGCAGGCGGUCAUUGUCACUGGUCAGCUCCAGCACCUUCUGCUGUGUCUCCACGUUGCGCUGCUUGGCCUUGUCCCGGCUCUUGCGCACCGCGAUGUUGUUGCGCUCGCGCCGCACCCGGUACUCGUUGCUGUUCUUGUCCACCGACUUCUUGACUUUGCCCGCGCCGCCGCCGCCCGCGCGGAGGUCGGGGUGCGCAGCGGCCAACCCCUUGAGCGCGCCGCCAGGGCCUGGCAAGCCAGCGGGGCCGAGAGCCGGCGCUGGGUGAGGGCUGGGCACGGGCGUGGGCGGCGGCGUGGGGUGGCCGGGCUGCAGGUGCAUGGUGGUCUGGCCGCAGUGCGCGAUCUGGAACUGCAGGUGCGGGGCGGCCAGGUGCGCGGGCGGCGGGUGCGGGUGCGGCGGUGGCGGCGGCGGCGGCGGCUGGUAGGGGAAGAGGCCGGCCAGCGCCAGCUGCUUCGCCUCGUCCUCCUCGCGCGGCUCCUGCUUGAUCACCAGCGGCCGCAGCGGCGGCGCCCCGACGCGCUCGUACAGGGGCUCCAGCCUGCCGUCCAGGUAGCCGGUCGCCGCGCAGCCGUAGCCAGGUGGGGGGCCGUGCGCCCCUCCGGGCAUCACGGCGCCGCCGGGGCCCCCGGGGGCACCCGUGUAGUCAAAGUCGCCGCCGCCGGCUCCUGCGGGGGCCGCGGCCGCCUUGGCCUUCUCCUGCUGCCGGCUGUGCUGGAACAGGAGAUGCGAGCUGCACACAGUAGGGCUACCCUGUGUCUCCAAAGGCCCCAUCCGUCCUAG